ensembl:lincRNA
UGACUGGGCAUGGUGUCCCAGAUGGUCAGCCACCCUCUCUCGGGCAGGUAACCACACACCUAUGUGUCCCACUCAGUCCUGCCCCUCUGCAGUGGUGCCACCUGGCAGGGCCCAAAGGCCCAGACAGUGUGGGAAGAAAUGGGUGGCUCACGCUGGCUCAGCCGAGGAGAAAAUCAAACUGAUGUGUUUUGAGAACUGGAGAGGAUUAUGGAGAGGACUACAAGGAACUGAGUAUCUUGAUUUAUCUCCUCAUCAGCUAUUAGUUAACACCAACUGCAUGUCAUGCACUGGGCCAGACAGUCUCUAGAAGCUCACGCAACUGUUAUCAUUGUGGUCUAUGAAGAAAAAUGUCACAUAAAGUUUAAAAAACAAGAAGAAAGAUUCCAUGCUGCAGUAGAGGGUCUGUAAGUGCUCCCGUGCCCAUGGAGUUCUGGUAAAAUCUGCCCCAUCCCUAGUGUUUUGAAGAUGGAACAAGGCUUGUUCUGUGGGGCUGCCCCAGGCCCAGAAGUGAGCAGAAGCCAGAGAGCAUUUUGCCCUGGGUUUCGCACUUGUUUGCAUUCAGCAAGUAUUUGUUGGAUUUUAGUAGAGUUUUAGUAGAACGUACAGGCUCUGCCAAAAUGAGGGAAAGCCUGACCCUGAGUGUGAACCUUCCCAGAUGGGAUUUAAUGUGCUGUGAGAUCCUGACGCUAUGAAAGCGUUUGCUGAAAUGCCCUCAUACCACGAAGACUCAAUUUAUCUUUGAAAUAUCUACAAAUUACUGUCUUUUUAACAUCGUAAGUUGUUAUUGAUGCUGGUUUUUGGAUGUUCUUUCUUGUGACUAUACUCUUUUAACCAUUGAGUAGUUAUAAUUUCUCUCCGAACAUGAUGAAGGGUCUCUGUUACCUCUUAUUCAUCAGACCAACUGUGAAAGAAUGAAAAUUAAGGUGUGUGUGUGUAUCUCAAACUUGGCAUGUUCCACAACUCAUUCUAGCUGGCAGGCAACGCGGGGGAGUGAGGGAGUGAGCAUGUUUUAGAGGUAGGACAAGCGCAGAAAUCAGUUUUGCAGAUGUACCUGCACCCACCUCUUUCCCUGCCACCUUACCCUUCCCACUUUCAGAUAACUGUAGACCAAAAUGAAAUCGUAAGACCCCCAACGGACUGAAUGGACCCCUCUUUUCAGCCAAGGGGAUUCCAUAGAAUCCUAACAAUCUAGUUCAGGCCACGAUGGGAAGGCAAGGUCCGAUGUGCCUCAUUAUACCCUCCUCGCUUUGGAAUUCAGGAACAACUGGCCAGACUUCACAUGAAAACAGAGAUCUUAAGCAUGACAAAACAGACUCUUUGUAGAAAUAAGACACCACAUUCCAACCUAACUCUAUUAUAGCAUCACAUGACAGAUAGCAGGCUUUGAAAGAAAUCGAAAUAUUUUACCCAAAAAUAACUUUCUUUGACACAUUUUGAAAUGGCCCUGCAAAGCUGUGUCUUGCAGGGAAAAUUUACAUUUUCUAAAGAAUCCUCUUCUUUUUCCAGGUCUUUUGUGGACCCCAAAGUGAUUAGCUCAGAGUCUAGCAUUUUUUAAAUGUCUGAAUGGGAAACAUUUGCCAUCUGUUGUCUCUAAGGGUACCACCUAUGAGACUUCAUCAACAUAAUAAAACCUUGGUCUUCACAACCCCUUAUCUGAACCUAGACACUCCUUUCUACAGAUUCCAGAUCUUUAGAUAAUAACUUUUUCAACCGAUUACCAAUCAGAAAAUCUUUGAAUUCACCUCUGACCCGGAAGCCCCUGCUUCAAGUCGUCUCGCCUUUCAGGACUGAACCAAUGCACACAUUACAUGCAUUGACUGAUGUCUUCUGUCUCCCUAAAACAUAUGAAACCAAGCAGUAGCCCAACCACCUUG